AUAUAUAUAUAUACUGCAUAUACUAAAAUUGGAUCGAUACAGAGAAGAUUAGCAUGGCCCCUGCGAAAGGAUGACACGCAAAUCCGUGAAGCGCUGGGGAAGUCG
ensembl:snRNA U6 U6 spliceosomal RNA